GACGAACGCUGGCGGCGUGCUUAACACAUGCAAGUCGAACGGAAAGGCCCUGCUUUUGUGGAGUGCUCGAGUGGCGAACGGGUGAGUAACACGUGAGUAACCUGCCCUUGACUUUGGGAUAACUUCAGGAAACUGGGGCUAAUACCGGAUAGGAGCUCCUGCUGCAUGGUGGGGGUUGGAAAGUUUCGGCGGUUGGGGAUGGACUCGCGGCUUAUCAGCUUGUUGGUGGGGUAGUGGCUUACCAAGGCUUUGACGGGUAGCCGGCCUGAGAGGGUGACCGGCCACAUUGGGACUGAGAUACGGCCCAGACUCCUACGGGAGGCAGCAGUGGGGAAUAUUACACAAUGGGCGGAAGCCUGAUGCAGCAACGCCGCGUGCGGGAUGACGGCCUUCGGGUUGUAAACCGCUUUCGCCUGUGACGAAGCGUGAGUGACGGUAAUGGGUAAAGAAGCACCGGCUAACUACGUG
rnacentral:rRNA from 1 species